UUCCGGUUGAUCCCGCCGGAGGCGACCGCUAUUGGAGUUCGAUUAAGACAUGCGAGUCUGAGCAUUAGCUCGGCGUACCGCUCAGUAACACGUGGGUAACCUGCCCUAUCGUUUUGAAUAACCUCGGGAAACUGAGAAUAAUACAUCAUAGUCCACUACGCCUGGAACGGUGAGUGGAUGAAGGUAGGAUGGGCCUGCGGCGUAUCAGGUUGUAGGGGGUGUAAUGGACCUCCUAGCCAUCGACGCGUACGGGUGUUGGGAGACAUAGCCCGGAGAUGGAUUCUGAGACACGAAUCCAGGCCCUACGGGGCGCAGCAGUUACGAAAACUUGGCAAUGCGGGAAACCGUGACCAGGGAACUCCAAGUGAGUCUCUUUUAGGGGCUCUUUUCUUGACUCUAAAACGGUCUUGGAAUAAGGGGUGGGUAAGGACGGUGCCAGCCGCCGCGGUAAUACCGGCGCCUCAAGUGGUCGUCGCUUUUAUUGGGCCUAAAACGUCCGUAGCCGGUUUGGUACAUUCGUGGGUAAAUCAGCUCGCUCAACGAGUUGAAUUCUGCGAGGACGGCCAGACUAGGGACCGGGAGAGGUGUGGGGAACUCUCAGGGUAGGGGUAAAAUCCUGUCAUCCUGAGAGGACCACCUGUUGCGAAGGCGCCACACUAGAACGGAUCCGACGGUCAGGGACGAAGCCUAGGGGCACGAACCGGAUUAGAUACCCGGGUAGUCCUAGGUGUAAACGCUGUGGACUUGGUGUUGGGGAAGCCCAGAGCUUUCCCAGUGCCGUAGCGAAGGUGUUGAGUCCACUGCCUGGGGAGUACGGUCGCAAGGCUGAAACUUAAAGGAAUUGGCGGGGGAGCACUGCAACCGGAGGAGUGUGCGGUUUAAUUGGAUUCAACGCCGGG
rnacentral:rRNA from 1 species